UUCUCUUGUUUUUCUUCCUCACACAGGCACCUGCACCACGAACUAUAUGCAAGGAGAGGAGUGAGGGUGCUGCUGGGAGAAAAUGGAAGAACGGGAUGCACCUGAGGAGCGAGGGGUUGACAUCUUGGUUCCUGCUUGACCGCGUUGCCUAUGGAUGGUGAGAAGGAGAAGGAAGGUGCUGCAAGUGCCAGGUUGGAUGGAUCACUGUACUGCUGUGCAACUUCCCCUAGCUUCACAUUGCAAGCCCAAUGAUUCUUGUGCCUAGGAUACCCACAUAACACAGUUAUCCUUGUUAUCCAUAUGGCCAACCAAGGUGCAUGGUGCUCACAAGUGACGAAUGGAGGUUGUUCAACAUAGGCACGGAGGAGGAGGAGGACGGGCACGGACGGAGGAGGACAGAGCACCUCUCUUCUUCUAGGUUAGUGAGCAGCAUCAGGAGGAGGAGCUCCAGCACGACCACCAAGAGGCACCAUCGCAGCAGCAGAUGAGUCCGUCGAUGAAGUGGCAGCGUCUCCUCUAGAGGGUGACGGUGGCGGCGGUGCCUGUGUGCGGCUUCGACUACAACCUCCUCUCCG